GACUCAUCCACUCCACUUGAAGCAACUGGAAGGUUGCACCGUAGAAGGUGACAGUCCUGUAAAGGUACGACUGGAUGACUGAGGUGACACCUGAGUAGGUCGUUGUUCGUGAAACGAUGACUGAAUCCACGCGGACCACCGCGUAAGGCUAAAUAUUCCCAGUGACCGAUAGCGCACAGUACCGUGAGGGAACGGUGAAAAGAACCCCGGAAGGGGAGUGAAAGAGAACCUGAAACCGUGGACUUACAAGCAGUC
rnacentral:rRNA from 1 species